GGGGGUUUAGCUCAUUGGCAGAGCGUUCGCUUCGCAUGCGAAAUGUCCGGGGUUCAAACACCCGUACCUCCA